AAGGGAGAGUAAUGCAUGGAUAUCUACCCUCGGGUCUGGGAUAGCUGCGGGAAACUGCAGGUAAUACCAGAUGACAUCUCCGGAUCAAAGGUGUGAUUCCGCCCGAGGAGGAGUCCAUGUCCUAUUAGCUAGUUGGCGAGGUAAUGGCUCACCAAGGCAAAGAUGGGUAUGGGGUGUGAGAGCACGACCCCACUCACUGGGACUGAGAUACUGCCCAGACACCUACGGGUGGCUGCAGUCGAGAAUCUUCGGCAAUGAGCGCAAGCUUGACCGAGCGACGCCGCGUGCGGGAUGAAGGCCUUCGGGUUGUAAACCGCUGUCAGUGUGGAGGAAAUCCCUAAGGGUAAUCUCUUAGGGUUGACCUAUACGCAGAGGAAGGAUGGGCUAAGUUCGUGCCAGCAGCCGCGGUAAGACGAACCAUCCAAACGUUAUUCGGAAUCACUGGGCUUAAAGGGUGCGUAGGCGGCGUGGUAAGUUGGGUGUGAAAUACCUCAGCCUAACUGAGGAAUUGCGCCCAAUACUGCCAUGCUCGAGGAAGACAUAGUGAGCGGAACUUAGGGU
rnacentral:rRNA from 1 species